GGGUCAGUAGGUUGGUCGUGCCACCGGUACGUACUGGUCUCACUGAUUCCUCCCUCCUGAAGAACCGUAAUGCCAUUAAUUUGGUGUUGCGGGGAAACAGGACUGUUACUUUGAAAAAAUUAGAGUGUUUAAAGCAAGCUAACGCUUGAAUACAUAGCAUGGAAUAAUGAAAUAGGACGAUCGAUCCUAUUUUGUUGUUUUCUAGGAUUGACGUA
rnacentral:rRNA from 1 species